ACAUGUUCAUUGUUCUCUACUUCCGUAUCCUCCCCUUUUCCCGACCCCUAAUUCACUGGAACCCGAUCCCAUCGAAUUCGGGCCGGAAAAAAGAAUCCAAAGAGCCUUUCCUCCCCCUCCUCUCCAUGGCGUCCUCCGGCGGCGGUGCGGUGGUCCGUCGGAGCAGCAGGUGAAGCGGGGCGGCAUGGCGUCGUCGCAGAAGCGGAAGAAGUGGACGGAGGAGGAGGAGCGGUCGCUGAUCGACAAGUAUGCGGAGAUGGCGUCCGACGGCAGCCUUGCCCGCAUGCGGACGCGGGAGAAGAAGUUUAAGCCCAUCGCUGCCCACGUUAACGCCGGUCACCACGCCGUCGACCCCGUGGCCUACCCCUUCCUCUGGUCCUGGAAGGACGCCUCCACUAAGGUCCAAAACAUGCGACACCAGUACCUCCUAGUCAAGCAAAAGCUCAUCUCCGCCCUCCCUUCCCCAUCCGAUGGCUCUCACGAUCCCUCCUCCAUCAUCGACUGGACCGACGGCGUCUCCCACUGGCCUAACUUCCUCCGCUACAAGCAAGUCUUCGGCGAUGCGCCGCUCCCCGCCAAACCGCCUGAACCUCCCCCUCCUCCUCCUCCCCCUCCGCCCUCCGCUGCCGUCCCGUCCUUUGCGGCGGCCAUCGAUGACGGCGAUCUGGGGCUGGGGCUCGGAUUCGACUGCUGCGGUGGGGAGGAGGUGGACGAGGAGGGGUUCGAUUACGAGGAGGUUGCCGCCGCCGCCGCGGUGGAGGCGGAGGCGGAGGCUCCGCCUCCGCCUCCGCAUCCUCCUCCUCCUCCGCCUCUGAUGCAGCCGGCGAGGUCGAGGAAGAGGAGGAGGAAGCGGCCGGAGCGGCGGCGGGCGUGGGCGGCGCUGGCGGCGCAGCUGGUGCGGCUGAGGGAGCGGGAGGCGAGGCUGGAGGAGCGGGAGGAGGAGAGGGAGAGGGAGCGGCGGGAGCGGGAAAGAAUGGAUGAGGAGGUGGAAGAGGAGAGGGAGAAGGAGUGGGAGAAAGCGAGGAGGGAGGCGGAGGAGGCGGCGCGGCGGCGGAGGGAUGAGGAGAGGGACUGGGAGGAGCGGAUGGAGGAGCGAAGGACCGAGUGGAGAAAGAGAGUUGAGGAUAUUCUCAGCCAGCACCGGGCCGAGAUGGAGCAGAUCCAGGCAAGGAUCCUCCAUGAUCAGCAGAGCAUCAUUGGCCAGCUCCUUGGCAUCCUCUCCCCAUGGGUUGCUUGCCCUUCUGUUGGUGGGCUCUCGGAUGGCGGUGCAGGGCUUGCAAGCCACCACCAGCACCCCCACCACCAUCAGCACCACCAGCCCUACCACUCCCAUCUCAUGCAGGGCUUGCACCACAUGAAUGGGAUGGUUCCGGGUGAGAAUCGGGUCGGUGGGGAUGGGCAGGAAGACCAGUUUAUCGUGGAUGGAUGAUCGAACUUGGACCUUUUGGGUGUGUUCAUAGUCAAAGGGGAUUGUUUGGAAAAUUCGUGAGAUGGAUGAGGUUUAUAAUGGGAACUGCUGCCACUUUUCACCUACCUGCCCAAUUAUUGUUGUGAAUUGAUUGUUGUCGAGCUUCAGGAGCUUGAGAGGAACAACUACACAUGCCUUCACAAACAUGGUUCUGAUGGCUAAUUUUUGAUUUCAGUAUACUGCUUCAACUGACUUGCAUUUUUGUCGGUGGAGUUGUGGGGAAUCUAAUUACAAUUGCUAUUAAGUUGUUUAACGAUCAUUCGCAAAGAUGAUCUGGCAACAGCACUUGGUAGCAAAUGGUUAACAUGCAGUUCUGUUUGG